UCGGAGUCCGAUUUAGCCAUGCUAGUUGCACGAGUUUAGACUCGUAGCAUAUAGCUCAGUAACACGUGGCCAAACUACCCUACAGACCGCGAUAACCUCGGGAAACUGAGGCCAAUAGCGGAUAUAACUCUCAUGCUGGAGUGCCGAGAGUUAGAAACGUUCCGGCGCUGUAGGAUGUGGCUGCGGCCGAUUAGGUAGAUGGUGGGGUAACGGCCCACCAUGCCGAUAAUCGGUACAGGUUGUGAGAGCAAGAGCCUGGAGACGGUAUCUGAGACAAGAUACCGGGCCCUACGGGGCGCAGCAGGCGCGAAACCUUUACACUGCACGACAGUGCGAUAGGGGGACUCCGAGUGUGAGGGCAUAUAGCCCUCGCUUUUCUGUACCGUAAGGUGGUACAGGAACAAGGACUGGGCAAGACCGGUGCCAGCCGCCGCGGUAAUACCGGCAGUCCGAGUGAUGGCCGAUAUUAUUGGGCCUAAAGCGUCCGUAGCUUGCUGUGUAAGUCCAUUGGGAAAUCGACCAGCUCAACUGGUCGGCGUCCGGUGGAAACUACACAGCUUGGGGCCGAGAGACUCAACGGGUACGUCCGGGGUAGGAGUGAAAUCCUGUAAUCCUGGACGGACCACCAAUGGGGAAACCACGUUGAGAGACCGGACCCGACAGUGAGGGACGAAAGCCAGGGUCUCGAACCGGAUUAGAUACCCGGGUAGUCCUGGCUGUAAACAAUGCUCGCUAGGUAUGUCACGCGCCAUGAGCACGUGAUGUGCCGUAGUGAAGACGAUAAGCGAGCCGCCUGGGAAGUACGUCCGCAAGGAUGAAACUUAAAGGAAUUGGCGGGGGAGCACCACAACCGGAGG
rnacentral:rRNA from 1 species